AACGAACGCUGGCGGCAGGCUUAACACAUGCAGGUCGAACGCGUGCAGCAAUGCACGAGUGGCGCACGGGUGAGUAACGAGUGGAUAUCUGCCUUUUGGUUCGGAAUAACCCCGGGAAACUGGGGCUAAUACCGGAUGGUUCCUACGGGAUAAAGAUUUAUCGCCAAAAGAUGAGUCCGCGUCCGAUUAGCUAGUUGGUGAGGUAAUGGCUCACCAAGGCGACGAUCGGUAGCUGGUCUGAGAGGACGAUCAGCCACACUGGGACUGAGACACGGCCCAGACUCCUACGGGAGGCAGCAGUGGGGAAUAUUGGACAAUGGGGGCAACCCUGAUCCAGCCAUGCCGCGUGAGUGAUGAAGGCCUUCGGGUUGUAAAGCUCUUUUGGCGGGGACGAUGAUGACGGUACCCGCAGAAUAAGCCCCGGCUAACUUCGUG
rnacentral:rRNA from 1 species